AUGUAUAUUAAUUCUCUUAGUAGGAAAAUACAUUAUUCUCUUAGUAGGAAAACUUCUAGUGACUUCCAUUUCUUUUCUUGCUACUGUUUUACAUUAUUCUCUUAG
rnacentral:rRNA from 1 species